rnacentral:rRNA from 1 species
CUGACGAGUGGCGGACGGGUGAGUAACGCGUAGGAAUCUGCCCAAUAGUGGGGGGACGAACCCGGAGAAAUCCGGGCUAAUACCGCAUACGCCCUACGGGGGAAAGGAGGGGAUCUCUUCGGAGACCUUUCGCUAUUGGAUGAGCCUGCGUCGGAUUAGCUUGUUGGUAGGGUAACGGCCUACCAAGGCGACGAUCCGUAGCUGGUCUGAGAGGACGAUCAGCCACACUGGGACUGAGACACGGCCCAG